UACAGGGGGGGCAAGCGUUGUUCGGAAUUACUGGGCGUAAAGGGCUCGUAGGUGGCCAACUAAGUCGGACGUGAAAUCCCUCAGCUUAACUGGGGAACUGCGUCCGAUACUGGAUGGCUUGAGUUUGGGAGAGGGAUGCGGAAUUCCAGGUGUAGCGGUGAAAUGCGUAGAUAUCUGGAGGAACACCGGUGGCGAAGGCGGCAUCCUGGACCAACACUGACACUGAGAGACGAAAGCAGGGGAGCAAAGGACGUA
rnacentral:rRNA from 1 species